rnacentral:rRNA from 1 species
ACCUUACCAGGUCUUGACAUACCUUCAAAGACCCCGGAGACGGGGGGAUAGCUAUGGAGGAUACAGGUGGUGCAUGGUUGUCGUCAGCUCGUGUCGUGAGAUGUUGGGUUAAGUCCCGCAACGAGCGCAACCCUUGUCGUCAGUUGCCAGCAUUCAGUUGGGGACUCUGGCGAGACUGCCUCUGCAAGGAGGAGGAAGGCGGGGAUGACGUCAAAUCAUCAUGCCCCUUAUGACCUGGGCCACACACGUGCUACAAUGGACGGAUCAGAGGGCAGCGAAGGGGCGACCCGGAGCGAAACCCAGAAACCCGUUCUCAGUUCGGACUGCAGCCUGCAACUCGGCUGCACGAAGCUGGAAUCGCUAGUAAUCGCGGAUCAGCAUGCCGCGGUGAAUACGUUCUCGGGCCUUGUACACACCGCCCGUCACACCAUGAGAGUUGGCAACACCCGAAGCCGGUGGCCUAACCCCAUUAGGGGAAGGAGCUGUCUAAGGUGGGGCCGAUGAUUGGGGUG